AUGAACGCUGGCGAAUGCUUUACACAUGCAAGUCGUACGAAAGCUUUAGCUUAAGUGGCGGACGGGUGAGUAAUACGUAAGAAUUUGCCUUUAGGAGGGGGAUAACAGCUGGAAACGGUUGCUAAUACCCCAUAUGCUUUUAAAGUGAAAAUGGGUUUACCGCCUAAAAGAAAGCUUACGGCUGAUUAGCUUGUUGGUAAGGUAAUGGCUUACCAAGGCGACAAUCAGUAUCU
rnacentral:rRNA from 1 species